GAUGGUAUAGUAAUUACUUUGUUGGACUCAUUUUCGCUUAAAUAUCUAAUUAUCUCCUAUAACACAUUAAAUUUACAGUGAGAAAUGUGCGGUCGGACUGGUCCGGUCAAUCGGGCGGCAGUGCGGCGCGAUAACGGCGCACAUUUGUAAAGAUUUUGCGAGCCCUACCGCCCAAGACUAUUCGACUGUGUUGUGGCCAUACGGCUCCACGGAGUUACGAAGGAAAAUUCAUAUUUGAUUUAGACCUAUUACAAAAAUGAUUUACUUACUUAGCAUCCUCUGAAUCAAUAAAUUACAUUAAGUAAGUAAGUAUAUAUUAUAUAAUGUGUAAUUAAUAUUAAUGAAGAUAAUAAAAAGACAAGAGAACAAGAAAAUGCUA